rnacentral:ncRNA from 1 species
AUGAAUAAACCCUUCGAGCCGUCCCGGCCUAACUUUCAAAAGAAACAUGGCAGACGGCCGGUCAGGGUGUCGCUGGAAACGGCGGCGCCUCCCGUUUUUGGAAAGGAGGGGUAUGAGCGCUUAC